GACGAACGCUGGCGGCGUGCUUAACACAUGCAUGUCGAACGGAAAGGCCCUGCUUUUGUGGGGUGCUCGAGUGGCGAACGGGUGAGUAACACGUGAGUAACCUGCCCUUGACUUUGGGAUAACUUCAGGAAACUGGGGCUAAUACCGGAUAGGAGCUCCUGCUGCAUGGUGGGGGUUGGAAAGUUUCGGCGGUUGGGGAUGGACUCGCGGCUUAUCAGCUUGUUGGUGGGGUAGUGGCUUACCAAGGCUUUGACGGGUAGCCGGCCUGAGAGGGUGACCGGCCACAUUGGGACUGAGAUACGGCCCAGACUCCUACGGGAGGCAGCAGUGGGGAAUAUUGCACAAUGGGCGGAAGCCUGAUGCAGCAACGCCGCGUGCGGGAUGACGGCCUUCGGGUUGUAAACCGCUUUCGCCUGUGACGAAGCGUGAGUGACGGUAAUGGGUAAAGAAGCACCGGCUAACUACGUGCCAGCAGCCGCGGUGAUACGUAGGGUGCGAGCGUUGUCCGGAUUUAUUGGGCGUAAAGGGCUCGUAGGUGGUUGAUCGCGUCGGAAGUGUAAUCUUUGGGGCUUAACCCUGAGCGUGCUUUCGAUACGGGUUGACUUGAGGAAGGUAGGGGAGAAUGGAAUUCCUGGUGGAGCGGUGGAAUGCGCAGAUAUCAGGAGGAACACCAGUGGCGAAGGCGGUUCUCUGGGCCUUUCCUGACGCUGAGGAGCGAAAGCGUGGGGAGCGAACAGGCUUAGAUACCCUGGUAGUCCACGCUGUAAACGGUGGGUACUAGGUGUGGGGUCCAUUCCACGGGUUCCGUGCCGUAGCUAACGCUUUAAGUACCCCGCCUGGGGAGUACGGCCGCAAGGCUAAAACUCAAAGGAAUUGACGGGGCCCCGCACAAGCGGCGGAGCAUGCGGAUUAAUUCGAUGCAACGCGUAGAACCUUACCUGGGUUUGACAUGGAUCGGGAGUGCUCAGAGAUGGGUGUGCCUCUUUUGGGGUCGGUUCACAGGUGGUGCAUGGCUGUCGUCAGCUCGUGUCGUGAGAUGUUGGGUUAAGUCCCGCAACGAGCGCAACCCUUGUUCACUGUUGCCAGCACGUUAUGGUGGGGACUCAGUGGAGACCGCCGGGGUCAACUCGGAGGAAGGUGGGGAUGACGUCAAGUCAUCAUGCCCCUUAUGUCCAGGGCUUCACGCAUGCUACAAUGGCUGGUACAGAGAGUGGCGAGCCUGUGAGGGUGAGCGAAUCUCGGAAAGCCGGUCUCAGUUCGGAUUGGGGUCUGCAACUCGACCUCAUGAAGUCGGAGUCGCUAGUAAUCGCAGAUCAGCAACGCUGCGGUGAAUACGUUCCCGGG
rnacentral:rRNA from 1 species